GAUCAGGGUGGAACCACCAGACCAGAUGUUUCUGACCUCAGGGUAAAUGAUGCCAUUGAGAAAUCCAGUGGUAAUUGAUAAGCAUUGAAAGGGGGAGUCAAAAAAAAACCCCAAAUUUAGUUUAAAUGAUAGAGCAAAUGAACAGGGAUUCAGCCAGCUGAAACAAGGAUGCAUUCUAGUGGAGAGCCUGAGAGGACCUGUCAUCCCAUCACUUGUCGUUGUUCCUGAGCCUCUGCGUGAGCCUCACAGCUCUCAAACUCUACAGCCUCAUCUGGACCCUGAUGAGAGCCGCAACUCCUCCCUAUGACCCCCUCCUCAUAAGGUCGUUUACUCCACGCCAGGAAAAGCCUGCCUUGGUUCCUGACCUGGUCACUGUGGUCUGAGGAAAAACCACUAAGGUUUGAGUGGGUUGUCACUGUAACCCCUGGGUCCUCUCAAGCCUUCUCAGAGGAGCAUCGGAGAGAUGGGACCUCUCCCACAAGCUGCUGACAGAGGUGGUUGGGGCUAUUGUGCCAGGCGUGAAGAUUCUGCCCACUGGUCAAGAGACCUCACUCUCAGAUGCUGGCUCUGUCCCUGUCUUUGGGGGUCGGCCCAUGUACUCGCAGGACAUUAGGUGCCUCUAUUCUGAUUCAGUAAAUAUGGAAUGAGUGUGAGAGUCUGCAUCUCAAAGCUCCUUGGAUGAAAACAGAACAUAGCCCAGUGCUGUAUCCGCCCCAGGUUCUACUCGAAGGAAUCCAAUUAGAACUGGUCACCAUGGGCCAAAGUGAACUAAAGUUGCCAUGACAGUGGAGACUAGAAAGUCUGAUGUCACCUUGCUAUUAGUUGAAAGUCAAGAAGUAGACCUGGGUGGAACUCUACGGAAACUUUUCUGGGAUGCCCAAUAAAACUGGAGUGCAAGAGAGGCACAUUGUCCCCCUCCUCUCUGAGAGGACUCACUCCCUUGAGAGUGUCCA